rnacentral:rRNA from 1 species
UGGGGAAUAUUGGACAAUGGGGGCAACCCUGAUCCAGCCAUGCCGCGUGAGUGAUGAAGGCCUUCGGGUUGUAAAGCUCUUUUGGCGGGGACGAUGAUGACGGUACCCGCAGAAUAAGCCCCGGCUAACUUCGUGCCAGCAGCCGCGGUAAGACGAAGGGGGCUAGCGUUGUUCGGAAUUACUGGGCGUAAAGGGCGCGUAGGCGGUUUGUUAAGUCAGGCGUGAAAGCCCUGGGCUCAACCUGGGAGGUGCGCUUGAUACUGGCAGGCUUGAGUUCAGGAGAGGAUGGUGGAAUUCCCAGUGUAGAGGUGAAAUUCGUAGAUAUUGGGAAGAACACCGGUGGCGAAGGCGGCCAUCUGGACUGCAACUGACGCUGAGGCGCGAAAGCGUGGGGAGCAAACA